rnacentral:rRNA from 1 species
UACGUAGGGGGCAAGCGUUGUCCGGAUUCAUUGGGCGUAAAGAGCGUGUAGGCGGCCAGGUAGGUCGGUUGUGAAAACUGGAGGCUCAACCUUCAGAGGUCGACCGAAACCAUCUGGCUAGAGUCCGGGAGAGGAGAGUGGAAUUCCUGGUGUAGCGGUGAAAUGCGCAGAUAUCAGGAAGAACACCCGUGGCGAAAGCGGCUCUCUGGAACGGUACUGACGCUGAAGGAGGCGAAAAGCCGUGGGGGAGCGAAACAGG